GGUGGCUCAAUGGUAGAGCACUUGCCUUGCAUGCAUAAGGCCCUGGGUUCGAUUCCUCAGUACCA
rnacentral:tRNA from 1 species